rnacentral:snoRNA from 1 species
CUGUCCUGCCCAGCCAGUGCUGCUCCCCUUACCAAAGCUGUGGUGUGGGGUGUGUGGGGGCGGACACAGAGCAACCUGCCUCACGGGUUAGGAGGACUGCACCAAGGAAUGUGCUGCCUUCAAAGGCACGAGAGGACACU